UACGAACUGUGCAAACGUUAUUCGGAAUCACUGGGCUUAAAGGGUGCGUAGGCGGCUUGUUAAGUAGGGUGUGAAAUCCCCCGGCUCAACCGGGGAAUUGCGCCCUAAACUGGCGAGCUGGAGUGAGAUAGGGGUGUGUGGAACUUCCGGUGGAGCGGUGAAAUGUGUUGAUAUCAGGAGGAACACCGAUGGCGAAGGCAGCUCGCUGGGACGGUACUGACGCUGAGGCGCGAAAGCGUGGGGAGCAAACAGG
rnacentral:rRNA from 1 species